rnacentral:rRNA from 1 species
GCAGUCGAACGGUGAUGAUGGGAGCUUGCUUCUGUCUGAUCAGUGGCGAACGGGUGAGUAACACGUGAGUAACCUGCCCCAGACUCUGGGAUAACCCCGGGAAACCGGAGCUAAUACCGGAUAUGACACCAAUCCGCAUGGGUAUGGUGUGGAAAGUUUUUCGGUCUGGGAUGGACUCGCGGCCUAUCAGCUUGUUGGUGAGGUAGUGGCUCACCAAGGCGACGACGGGUAGCCGGCCUGAGAGGGCGACCGGCCACACUGGGACUGAGACACGGCCCAGACUCCUACGGGAGGCAGCAGUGGGGAAUAUUGCACAAUGGGCGCAAGCCUGAUGCAGCGACGCCGCGUGAGGGAUGACGGCCUUCGGGUUGUAAACCUCUUUCAGCAGGGAAGAAGCGAAAGUGACGGUACCUGCAGAAGAAGCACCGGCUAACUACGUGCCAGCAGCCGCGGUAAUACGUAGGGUGCGAGCGUUGUCCGGAAUUAUUGGGCGUAAAGAGCUUGUAGGUGGUUUGUCGCGUCUGCUGUGAAAAUCCGAGGCUCAACCUCGGACUUGCAGUGGGUACGGGCAGACUAGAGUGUGGUAGGGGAGACUGGAAUUCCUGGUGUAGCGGUGGAAUGCGCAGAUAUCAGGAGGAACACCGAUGGCGAAGGCAGGUCUCUGGGCCAUUACUGACACUGAGAAGCGAAAGCAUGGGGAGCGAACAGGAUUAGAUACCCUGGUAGUCCAUGCCGUAAACGUUGGGAACUAGGUGUGGGUCGCAUUCCACGUGAUCCGUGCCGCAGCUACGCAUUAAGUUCCCCGCCUGGGGAGUACGGCCGCAAGGCUAAAACUCAAAGGAAUUGACG